rnacentral:rRNA from 1 species
AUUGAACGCUGGCGGCAUGCCUUACACAUGCAAGUCGAACGGCAGCGGGCCUUCGGGUGCCGGCGAGUGGCGAACGGGUGAGUAAUGCAUCGGAACGUGCCAUUGAGUGGGGGAUAACGUAGCGAAAGUUACGCUAAUACCGCAUAUUCUGUGAGCAGGAAAGCAGGGGACCGCAAGGCCUUGCGCUCUUUGAGCGGCCGAUGUCAGAUUAGCUAGUUGGUGAGGUAAAGGCUUACCAAGGCGACGAUCUGUAGCGGGUCUGAGAGGAUGAUCCGCCACACUGGAACUGAGACACGGUCCAGACUCCUACGGGAGGCAGCAGUGGGGAAUUUUGGACAAUGGGCGCAAGCCUGAUCCAGCCAUGCCGCGUGAGUGAAGAAGGCCUCGGUUGUAAGACUCUUUCGGUCCGGGAACGGAAAUAC